GAUGUCAAACCCCGCCUCUUCAACAACACUCGCUCUGCAGUCUGCCAUGCUGCUGCUGCUGCUGCUGCUGCUGCUGCACACCGCUGCCACGGCUACUGCAGGCUGAGACUCACGCAGUUAUACGAAACAUGAAACCAUGAUCGAAAGAAGAAAAUCCGGGAUACAAGCGGCCGAAUUGAGCUUCCUCUGUUUGGAUAUCAAGUUAAGAGCUUGUCUGUUGAGAGCAACUCUGACAAAACCCACAACUGAUUGAAAUGGCGCCGCUGCUUCUUUAAAUCAAAGGAUCCAGUUCACGAGGUUCUUAGAGGCCACUGCAUACUUGUGCCUCAUCUCCACUGAGCAGUACACCACAGGAUUGAGGAAAUGGGCUGCCGUGAUGGAGUGUGCACCAAGGGGUCACAAUGUAUCAGCAUGAUCCAGACUUUCCCCAGGAAGUACUUGAAAGAGCCCAUUGAGGAGACGUUUCCCUCUGCACUUGUUUCCUCCAAGGACAUAAUGCUUCUGCUUCCUUUUAAAAUAAAAAGGC